UCUUCUGCAUCCGAUCCAUGGCCACCAGCGGGGGCGCGAGCAGCCUCAGAGCCGCGGGGCAGGAGCGGCGGUGCCUGGGCCACGGCCCGGGCUCAGGCUGCGCGACCUCCUUCUCCUCCUACCGGUCCCAGCAGUCCUUGAAGAUUGGGUCUGAUGGGGAGAGUGACCAGGCUUCGCCACAUCCUAGGAUGAGGUGCAGUCUCCAGUGAGGGUGCUCAUGUGCAACCAUCCCCCACUCCAGAUCUCCACUGAGGACAUUAACAAGCGCCUGUCACUACCAGCUGACAUCCGGCUGCCUGAGGGUUACCUUGAGAAGCUGACUCUAAAUAGUCCCAUUUUUGACAGGCCCCUCAGCCGCUGCCUCCGUCGUGUCAGCCUGUCGGAGAUUGGCUUUGGAAAACUAGAGACCUACAUCAAGCUGGACAAACUGGGCGACGAUACCUAUGCCACGGUAUACAAAGGCAAAAGCAAGCUUACAGACAACCUUGUAGCACUCAAGGAGAUCAGACUUGAACACGAAGAGGGGGCGCCCUGCACCGCCAUCCGGGAAGUGUCUCUGCUCAAGGACCUCAAACAUGCCAACAUUGUUAGGCUAGUGACAUUAUCCACACGGAGAAAUCCCUCACCCUUGUCUUUGAGUACCUGGACAAGGACCUGAAGCAGUACCUGGAUGACUGUGGGAACCUAAUCAACAUGCACAAGGUGAAACUGUUCCUGUUCCAGCUGCUCCAUGGCCUGGCCUACUGCCACGGCAGAAGGUGCUACACCGAGACCUCAAGCCCCAGAACCUGCUUAUCAACGAGAGGGGACAGCUCAAGCUAGCUGACUUUGGCCUGGCCCGGGCCAAGUCAAUCCCAACAAAGACAUACUCUAAUGAGGUGGUGACACUGUGGUACCAGCCACCUGACAUCCUGCUUGGGUCCACAGACUACUCCACUCAGAUUGACAUGUGGGGUGUGGGCUGCAUCUUCUAUGAGAUGGCCGACCCCUCUUCACGGGCUCGCAGUGGAAGAACAGCUGCACUUCAUCUUCGGCAUCUUAGGAACCCCAACUGAGGACACGUGGUCAGGCAUCCUGUCCAAUGAGGAGUUUAAGACAUACAACUAUCCCCAGUACCAAGCCGAGGCCCUUUUAAGCCAUGCACCCCGACUUGAUAGCGACGGGGCUGACCUCCUUUCUAAGCUGCUACAGCUUGAGGGUCGAAAUCGCAUCUCUGCAGAGGAUGCCAUGAAACAUCCAUUCUUCUUCAGUCUGGGGGAGCGGAUCCACACACUUCCUGACACUACUUCCAUAUUUGCACUAAAGGAGAUUCAGCUACAAAAGGAGGCCAGCCUUCAGUCUUCAUCAAUGCCUGACUCAGGCAGGCCAGCUUUCCACGUGGUGGACACCGAGUUCUGAGUUCUAAGCCACAGACCGAGGCCCCAGCAGGCAGCAGCUGGAGGGAUGCCACACCCCUCACAGGGCAGCCCCCAACUGCAUCCUCCCUGCUUGCUACCUGCCUACCUGCCUGAGCCAUGUUCACCUGCCCACUGGUCCCCUGCUGCCCACCUGAACACCCCACCAUUGGCCUGUCAACCCACCCAUUGACCUGUCUGCUGGGUGCUAACAAAGUUCUCAUCACUCCUUCAAAAAAAAAAUAAA